rnacentral:rRNA from 1 species
UCAAGCUAAUAAGGGCGCAAGGGGAAUGCCUUGGCAUUGGAAGCCGAUGAAGGACGUAGCGAUCUACGAAAAGCCCCGGGGAGGCGAAAGCAGCCAUCGAUCCGAGGAUAUCCGAAUGGGGAAACCCGGCGGAGCAAUACUCCGUCAUCCUUUUGUGAAUCCAUAGCAACUGGAAGGGAACCGCCUGAACUGAAACAUCUAAGUAGGGCGAGGAAGAGAAAUCAACCGAGAUUCCGCUAGUAGUGGCGAGCGAACGCGGAAGAGGCCAAACCGGAGGUAGCAAUAUUUCCGGGGUUAGGACUGCAAUAUGUAACUUUAAUCUUUAACUGAAUGCUUUGGGAAGAGCAGCGAUACAGGGUGAUAGCCCCGUAAGUGAAAAGGAUUGAGUGCUAGCAGUAUCCAGAGUACCAGCGGACACGUGAAACCCGCUGGGAAGAUGGGGGGACCAUCCUCCAAGCCUAAAUACUACUCAGUGACCGAUAGUGGAGCAGUACCGUGAGGGAAAGGUGAAAAGUACCCCGGGAGGGGAGUGAAAAAGAACCUGAAACCUUGUGCCUACAAGCACCGAGAGUCCGUUAAUGGAUGAUCGGGUACUUUUUGUAGAACGGUCCGGCGAGUUAAUAUUUGCAGCGAGGUUAAGGAACUGGAGUUCCGGAGCCGCAGCGAGAGCGAGUCUGAAAAGGGCGUAUGAAGUUGCAGGUAUUAGACCCGAAACCGGGUGACCUAUCCAUGAGCAGGCUGAAGCGGUGGUAAGACACCGUGGAGGGCCGCACCCACGUCUGUUGAAAAAGCCGGGGAUGACUUGUGGAUAGCGGAGAAAUUCCAAUCGAACUCGGAGAUAGCUGGUUCUCCUCGAAAUAGUUUUAGGACUAGCCUUGUUAAGUAGCAUUUGGGGGUAGAGCACUGAAGGAGCUAGGGGCCAAACCAGGUUACCGAACUCUAUCAAACUCCGAAUACCAAGUGUGUAAAAACAGGAGUCAGACUGUGGGAGCUAAGUUCCAUGGUCAAAAGGGAAAGAGCCCAGAUCGUCAAUUAAGGUCCCAAAGAUAUAGUUAAGUGGAAAACGAUGUGAUUUUGCGUAAACAACCAGGAUGUUGGCUUAGAAGCAGCCAUUCAUUUAAAGAGUGCGUAAUAGCUCACUGGUCGAGUGGAGUUGCGCGGAAAAUUACCGGGGCUAAACUAUACACCGAAAUUGCGGAUUCAUGAGUAAUCAUGAGUGGUAGAGGAGCAUUCUAUAGUAGGACGAAGGUAGAUCGAAAGGACUGCUGGACGAGAUAGAAGAGAGAAUGCCGGAAUAAGUAGCGAAAGCAUGGUGAGAAUCCAUGCCAUCGAAAGUCUAAGGUUUCCUGGGGAAGGUUCGUCCGCCCAGGGUAAGUCGGGACCUAAGGAGAGGCCGAAAGGCGUAUCUGAUGGACAGCAGGUAGAGAUUCCUGCACCACCGAAAUACUUAAAAGAUGCAAGGGACACAGGAGUGGAAGGAAAGCGAGGAAGAGGAAAGACUCGUAUCGAAAGAUAUAGUGAAAAAUAAGUAACGAAUUUCCAAGAAGCACGCUGGCGAGAAAAGCUUGUAGAUAUUGUAUAGAGGUGCCCGUACCGCAAACCGACACAGGUAGAUGAGGAGAGGAUCCUAAGAUGAGCGAGAGAAGCAUUGUUAAGGAACUCGGCAAAUUGACCCCGUAACUUAGGGAGAAGGGUUGCCAUAUGGAAGUAUGGUCGCAGAGAAGAGGCCCAAGCAACUGUUUAACAAAAACACAGGUUUCUGCUAAAUCGAAAGAUGAAGUAUAGGAGCUGACGCCUGCCCAGUGCUGGAAGGUUAAGGGGAAGAGUUAGAAGUAAGUCGAAGCUUAGAACCAAAGCCCCAGUGAACGGCGGCCGUAACUAUAACGGUCCUAAGGUAGCGAAAUUCCUUGUCAGGUAAGUUCUGACCCGCACGAAAGGCGUAAUGAUUUGGGCGCUGUCUCGACAAUGUACUCGGCGAAAUUGUAGUACUAGUGAAGAUGCUAGUUACCUGCGACAAGACAGAAAGACCCCAUGGAGCUUUACUGUAGCUUGAUACUGGGUUUUGAUAAUUUAUGUACAGGAUAGGUGGGAUGCUAAGAAGCAAGUGCGCCAGCAUUUGUGGAGCAGACGUUGGGAUACCACCCUUAAGUUAUUGAAAUUCUAACCUGUAGUCAUAAACUGGCUAGGGGACAAUGUCAGGUGGGCAGUUUGACUGGGGCGGUCGCCUCCAAAAGAGUAACGGAGGCGCGCAAAGGUUUCCUCAGCGCGGACAGAAAUCGCGCGAAAGAGUGCAAAGGCAGAAGGAAGCUUAACUGGGAGACUGACAAGUCGAGCAGAUACGAAAGUAGGUCUUAGUGAUCCGGUGGUUGUGAGUGGAAAUGCCAUCGCUCAACGGACAAAAGUUACCCUGGGGAUAACAGGCUUAUCUCCCCCAAGAGUUCACAUCGACGGGGAGGUUUGGCACCUCGAUGUCGGCUCAUCACAUCCUGGAGCGGAAGUACGUUCCAAGGGUUGGGCUGUUCGCCCAUUAAAGUGGUACGCGAGCUGGGUUCAGAACGUCGUGAGACAGUUCGGUCCUUAUCUGUCGCAGGCGCAGGAUAUUUGAGGGGAGUUGACCUUAGUACGAGAGGACCAGGUUGAACUUACCAAUGGUGCACCAGUUGUCAUACCAAUGGCAUAGCUGGGUAGCUAAGUAGGGAAGGGAUAAACGCUGAAAGCAUCUAAGUGUGAAGCCCACCCCAAGAUAAGAUAUCCCAUACCGUAAGGUAGUAAGAUUCCACGUAGACUAUGUGGUUGAUAGGUUGGAGGUGUAAGUGCAGUAAUGUAUUAAGCUGACCAAUACUAAUAAAUCGAGGGCUUAACCAC